CGGUAAUUUGCUAUGGCAGCCCCAAGAAAUUGCUAUGGCUCCUGUUAGAGUUUGUCUUCUUUGUUAUGCGAGGCCUCACCUAACCCUUAUGUACUAAUCCUCACCUAACCCUUAUGUACUAAUCAUGCACAACGCGCCGCUGCUGUUUCCAUUCGACUCUAACGUCACCCUUCACUCGGGAACUGGGAAUUUUACUGGAAAGCGGCUGAUGAGUUCCACUGAUUUAUAGGAGGUCAGAGGUCAGCAAAUAAGAGAGAAAAGAAAGACCAAUCCAGAAGCAAACUGACUAAUGAAAGCUCCAGAAAGAGUUACAAUGAAGAAAGAUACAAUGAAGGAAGGGAAGGAAAUUAUCAAAGAAAUAUUACAUUAAAAAUUUCCAGGAUAUGAAUUCAAAGUAUGUGAAUUUUCAGAGUGACAGAGUCCAUCCCAAAUGCCCAGCAUAAUGAGUGAAGAGAUGCACACCAAGACACAUAAUCAUGACACUUGAGAACAGUGGCUCCAAAACCUUCCAGAGAGAAGAAAAACACAUCAUAAAGGAUGAUACUGAUUUUCUCAACAGCAAUAUAGGAAGACAAUGUAGCAAUGCCUUCAAAAUGCUGAGGGAAAAUGGGUUUUAACCAAGAACUCCAUAUUUGGUCAAAUCAAUUAAGUAUGAUGACAGAAUUAAGAUAUUUUCAGAUGCAAAGCCUCAAAAAAAUGUAUGCCCCAUGUCUUUUUUUCUCAAGAAACUACUAGGGGAUAAGGUCCACCAAAAACAGAGAGGAAAUCAAGAAAAUGAAGGUAGAGGAUCCAGCACUGGGAGGAUCCCAGAGGAACCUGGGAGAGACAGAGUUUUAGUAAUCCACUGAUUUCCUAGAAAAUGGAAGAGUUUAGCCUUCAAACAUCCCUUCCUACCCCUCUCUAUUCAUACUUUCACAUUAGUGAUAAAGCAAUAUUAAAAAAAUUAGCAAUCAGUAUUA